rnacentral:rRNA from 1 species
UAUUGGACAAUGGGGGGAACCCUGAUCCAGCGACGCCGCGCGAGUGAAGAAGUAUCUCGGUAUGUAAAGCUCUAUCAGCAGGGAAGAAAAUGACGGUACCUGAGUAAGAAGCCCCGGCUAACUACGUGCCAGCAGCCGCGGUAAUACGUAGGGGGCGAGCGUUAUCCGGAAUUACUGGGUGUAAAGGGAGCGUAGACGGCGAGGUAAGCCUGAAGUGGAAGCCCGCGGCCCAACCGCGGAACUGCUUUGGGAACUGUUUUGCUGGAGUAUGGGAGGGGUAAGCGGAAUUCCUGGUGUAGCGGUGAAAUGCGUAGAUAUCAGGAGGAACACCGGUGGCGAAGGCGGCUUACUGGACCAUAACUGACGUUGAGGCUCGAAAGCGUGGGGAGCAAACAGG